rfam:Haemophilus haemoglobinophilus strain CCTG 3714 3714T_ctg_0000021, whole genome shotgun sequence.
ACAUCAUCACCAUUUCCCCUGAAUAGUCUUUCGGGCAUUUGGUGUACGCGGAAGACAAGAUCUUCCGAGUGAAUGCGAUAAGUAUCAAAACAAAUAAAAAUCUCUCGGAAGGUCACUUUCGAGAGAUUUUUUUA